GAUGAACGCUGGCGGCGUGCCUAAUACAUGCAAGUCGAGCGAACAGACGAUGAGCUUGCUCCGCGGACGUGAGCGGCGGACGGGUGAGUAACACGUGUAUAACCUACCUAUAAUACGGGUAUAACUUCGGGAAACCGGAGCUAAUACGGUAUAAUAUAUUGAAGCGCAUGGUUCAAUAGAAAAAGACGGUUGUGCUGGAACGAAUAGAUGGAUCUGCGCCGCAUUAGCUAGUUGUUAAGUUAACGGCUUACGAAGGCAACGAGGCGUAGCCGACGUGAGAGGGUGAUCGGCCACACUGGAACUGAGCCGCGGUCCAUGCGCCUACGGGAGGCAGCAGUAGGGAACCUGACGCAAUGGGCGAAAGCCUGACGGAGCAACGCCGCGUGAGUGACGAAGGUCUUCGGAUCGUAAAGCUCUGUUAUUAGGGAAGAACAAAUGUGUAAGUAACUAUGCACGUAUUGACGGUACCUAAUCAGAAAGCAACGGCUAACUACGUG
rnacentral:rRNA from 1 species